AAAUACAUACUAGUAAAAGAAUGAAAAUUAAGGAAAUAGUUUUGGAGGAUGCCAGCUUCCUUGAGAGCGGCUUUGUACUCUUCCUCUGAGUUCCAAGUGGUUAUCUCUUUUACAUUUGCUCCAAAGUACUUCUCGAUCUUCUCCAUCGCUUCUUUAUCCCACCCAUCAUCUAACAACAGAUUGAAUACCGCUCCUUUACCGCCAAACCGGCCAGCCCUUCCCACUCUGUGAAGGUAAACCUCAUAAUUUGGCUCCUCGGUGUUAUAAGUACAGGGAAGAUUAUAAUUGACAACCAAAUUCACCUGCAUUAUUGUGUUAACCAAGCAAGACACAUGAACUACGAGAGACAGGUUUUGGGGCCAAAAGAUAAAAGGAUAAUAACACACUAACCUGCUUUUGGUCAAAACCUCUUGCAAUGACAUCGGUUGCAAUGAGAACUUGAGUUAAGUUUGCUUUGAACUCCUUCACUACUGCAUCUCUGUCCGCUACUGUCAUACUACCAUGAAUGCUGGUGACAUCAUACCCCAUUUCCGCAAGAGCUUUGUGCAGUUUGUCCGAGGAAGAGGAAAUAGAAGAAAUGGAUUCAGUAGAAGAUACUUGAACCAGCCUCAUCAUCAUCAAUCAACAAACGGAGAAUCACAUUCGAAAAGACCAGACAGGUUUGUUUCUUUUCUACAAAGAUAAUUAGAUAACCGAGAAAAUAACUAUCUUCGGGAGUUUCAUGUGAUUUUCCUAACGGUGUCGUUUUGUAUCUGAACCAAAGUGGCCAUAAAGUGCCAAGGCCCAUAUAUCUGAUUUGUGAAGCCCAAUCAUAGUCUCUUUCUGGACCACUGCUAGUUUCAUUACACAAGGUAGGGGAUUCUUCAAAUUGUAAAACUACACAAUUGUAUGUGUUUCGUCUGUGCUUAGUAUGAAACGACGACCAUCACUUGAAAACAUCUCUUAAUUGAACUGAUUAUGAUGUUGAAGAUUAUUAAACUACUUGUCCUAAGAAUAAUGGGAGUUGAAACAUUAGUUGAUUUUGCACUCUUUCUUUCAUAUGACUCAUUCCAUUUUUUGUUUUUGUUUUUGUUUUUGUAUUAAAAACAUCACUUCGAACAUCUUGGAAAUGGUUUUAUACUAAUUGGCAAUAAAAUGUGUUUUUGAUGAUAAUGAAGACAACGAAAAAUCUCAAUAAGAUAGUAUGUAUAGAUUAAAGAUUAACGACAUCAAUAUCAUUAUUUAGCAUAGGUUUGUAAAAGAGAUAUAACAACAAUAGAAAUGAAGAAGACUAACAAUCCUCCAAAUCAGACCAGUAUGACUUGAAAAAGACAAGACAACAUUAUUGUUUAGCAUAAGUCAAGAGUAUAAAUGAAAAGGAACACUUGAGAGAGAGGCUGGAGAGACAGAACAACCCAACAAACCAGCAGUGAUCUUUAUUCUUCAGAUAAGCCAAGUACUGUCCACAUGAUCCACGAAGGUUUCAACAUAAUGACCCUUCACCUCUUCAAUUUUAAAUCUUCUUAGAUCUCCCGAAUUUGUAUCGUACAACAACACAAUAUAGGGUAAGUUUUGAUUUCCAAGAGAGGGGCUGUCUGUGAAAACAAGUUCAUUUGUUCUAUUAAUGUUGCCUACGAAAUAAAACGGUUUGUCUUCAACAGUUUGCUUCCAAGGAGGAAUCGGAAUGCUUCUGAGUAACCAUUCUCCCAUUUGAUCUCUAACCCACAUUUGCAAACCGCUAGUGUUGUAGCCAACAGGAGCAGGUAAGGCAAUUUCCUCAUUAUAGUUCACCAAGUCCCAACUAUGACCUCCUCUGCUAACUUGCUCAGAUAAUUCAAUGACACUAAAUUCUUCAGACAUCACAUUGAAGCUCAUUAUUACCCGAGCCUUGUCACUAUAGCGUUCAGCUUUAUAGUACAAAACCCCGUCUAUAAAUAGCCCGUCAUCACAUGGUUUAUGACCGUACUCACAUGUGAUCGGUCUCCAAGAUUCUUCACCGGCGGUAGAUCUUAUCGUGCAAACCUGAUACGUCGUAAUGGGGGUUUCAGACAUAUCAUACAAUGAUAUACAUAACACCUUGAAUACAUCCGUAGCUUUGUCGUAUCCCAAAAAACAGUUUAUGCAAACUUCAGAAUUACCCCCAUCGACCUCCGGUAAUUUCCGAAACGUUUUCGCACCCGGAUUGCAAAUCACAAUCUGAUUGUCCAAAUGAAGACAGACCAAACCUUGGACGGGUCGAAGAGCACUACAAGUAAUUGGCUGAACAUAAGAAAUACGCAACUGUUGUUGACCAGACGACAACAGUGGUUCCUCCUUUUCCUUUAGGUAAACAGAGUGAAACAACGUCUCCAUACUUGGAUUUUCACAAACAUCGUGAAACCACGACAUCUCAGGUUCAGGCGGCUGGGUUCUAUCUCGACUGACCAUGAACAUCAGUCGAGGCCUAUCCACCGAUCGGGUCAAGUAAACUUUUGCGAAGUCUUCCCCACGGAUAAGAGAUGCCCAUUGCUUCGAGACGCAGAUGCAUUUCGCCAAGCUUUUCAGAGUGAAAAAUGACAUAAUGUGCUUUUGUAGAUCUAGCGAAAAUACUGUGUCGAAACUUGAAUUCUCCAUUUUUUUUUUCUUUCUUCUCUACUGUAUUGUGAUGUGCUCUAGUAGUGUGUUAUGUGUUCCAGACAAAACCACAAGUGUGCUGUAUUUAUAGAAAAAUCUUAAAGAAUGGUUAAUUGUUACCAACGUUGUGAUGAGUAAGAGAAGAGACUUUAGUUUAACUUGUUGCGUCGUAAAACCGCGUACAUACAUACACACCUUUAAUUUCAUUUCAUUGGCUUACAUGCAUCUAAAAACCAAAGGAGAAAUGUUAGUCACACACGUUAAAAACUUACUAAAAUUACUAGCCAGUUAGCAUUGAGAUCAUUGGACGAUACCCAAGUUCAUGAGAGUGACAAAGUUGCUUUAGUGUAGUUUAGUUCUUGCUAAUUGAAUCACACGUCAAUAUCUCAAGUUUAACAUUGUUUCUUCUGACAAAAAAAAAAGGUUUUCACUUUUAGUUUUGUUUGUACACAAAUUAAAGGAAAACAAUAAAAGGUGUCAUGACACGUCAAAACUUAAUCGCUAAUUUCUAUAUGACUAAUUAACAGAGAGAUUUGGUGUCAAGCAUGACUUGAAAAUGUUUCCUUUUAUCGUAGACAUAUACUCGUUGAUCGAUCCACAAACACAACAAUCUAUCUAAUAUAGAAACACGUUUUCGCUUGUUAAAGAAGAAGCUUUUUUCUCUAGCUAAGUAAUGUAUAAGUAACAUUUUACACACAUAAUCAAUGAUGCUAAUCAACAAACUAAUAGAAACCUGCCAUUAACAUUUAGAUACUGUAAUAGCUAGUUGAAUAGUAUCGAGUAUCGACUAACACGAGCUAGGUGGCUUAAACAAUUUGCUUAUAAUAGUACAAGGACAAAAUUAUGCACCAAGAAGUGUUAUCGUAGCCACAAGACACGGUCAAUCUCAUUAGCCGUUAUUUUAUAAAAAGAAGAAUAUACAAAAACAGAGGUCUAACAGAUUUUAAGGGAGACAAUGGUGGCAACAGUUGCAGGAAAAUGCUGAAUAUCAGGUAUUUUGGACAGGGACUCUCCUGCUACAUGAGGAUGACUGGCAGAAGCAGCAAUUUGUGCCCUGGCCAAGAGAAGCAACUUAGACUUUUCCGGGAAUUUUUCAGCACACUGUCCCAGAAGUUCUUCAGCUUUGGCAGCCUUGUUUUCUCUCACCAAAACAGCAGCUUGAAGCAAUGUAGGAAUAACACUCUCGGGAAACAUACCAGGCAAUGCAGCACAAAGUUCUCGUGCCUGUGGCAAAGAAAAUUUCUUAACUGGUUAAGCAGAGUAUGCACAGAAGAAACAAAAGAGGAAUAAGCCAGACUGCAAGUUAAAAGGACCUGAUCCAUCUUAUUUGCAUGGAGGAGUAGAAGUACGCGAUUGGCAUAUAUGAACCUCCUUAUUUCUCUGUGAAAGCUUUGCAUCAAGUGCUUGAGAAAGCUGAAAAUUUUGGGAGUCUUUUUCUUUCAGCCGAUCAAACUUCAUCAAGCCAUCAGAAAUAUCUUUGGAACCUUUUAAGGCAAUAAGGUUGUUCACAAGCAACAGCAAGUGUAGGUUCAUCAUCCAGAUUGCGUUUAAUUAUGUCUACACAAGAGCUGGUGGAUUCUUGAGUCUUUCCAAGGACCUGACAAAGAAAAAAACUAUGUUACUAAGAACUGGAAGAUAUCUUGACAAGAGAUAAGCAGUAUAAAAAGUACCUGUUGGACAUAUGCUUCAUGAACAGCAAUUGGGGCAAGCUCAUUCUCGAUAUACUCAUCAGAAAAUUCGUCAGUGACAGUUUCCUGACAAAUUAUGUCUCAAAGCAACAAAAAAUUUAUCAGGUAUGAGUUACAUUGUACAAGACUUCUGAAAAUCAGCAGUCAAAUGAUCAAUGUACUUGAAGUGUUGAUGUAUACAUCCCUACAAACUAGAUUUGAUGUGCUUAUCAAAAGCAGCAUGUUGAUGGGAAAAUGAUUGAAUAGUUGGCAGUGGUGAUAAGACAAGAAAGAAUUGAGACAAAACAGUGCUAACAACUAAUUUACCCGUGUCAAAAAGAACCUCUUCAGAAAUCACUAGUAGAAACAAUGGCUUAGGAGACAUAAAUAAUGAGCAAUCCUACAUAAUUAGGCUUAGAUCUCUUAAAUAAAGUGAGAUUAUAAACCUCCUGCCAGUGAGAAGAAGUUGUUCUGCAUCAGCAUAGUUAUUGAUUUCAGUCAAAGAGCAAGCAGAAUUAUAAGCCAACUCAAAAGAACUAGUUGGUUUGAUCUUCAAACCCUCCAAUGCCAUAGCCACCGUCUUCCUUGUCUUGGCUAUCUGCAAAGUUAAAAUAAGAGCCAAAACUUGUUCAGUGACAGAUUCUAAUGCAUUGUCCUCGACACAUAGAGAGUGAUGUUAAAAUUAUUCCUGCUUACUUAAAAAACCAGUAUAAAGUGUUGUUAUGAUCAAUGUGUUGAAAAAGAUACCCAAUAAAAAAGGAAAUCAUGUAAACAUCCCUACAUACUAGAUUGAUGUGUUUAUCAAAAGCAGGGGAUGUUCAAGGAAAACACAUGAUAAAAUACUUGGCAGUGGUGAUAAGACACGAAAGAAUUAUGAUCAAACAGUAAGGUUCAGUGGUUACAACUAUUUUACCGAAUUACUGAUCCUAUUUAGUACAGCUAACUAAUGUGCAAUCCCAAGAUGGGUUACCUUCGGGCAGUGAGCACAUGCUGUUCUGCAUCAGCAUAGUUAUUGUUUUCCAUCAAAGAGCAAGCAGUAUUAUAAGCCAACUCAAAUGAACUAGUUGGUUUAAUCUUCAAACCCUCCAAUGCUUUUUUCUCCAGCUGAAACCAACCCCGCGACGAUAUUGACCUCUAAACUGACCUUUAACUUCUUAAUCUCGGCCUUGCCCAGUUUGAAUAUACUUCUUAAAUAUUACUUACAACAUAAUAUGAAUAUAUUUUUGUUUGUUUUUAAAAUGUAUACCAUGAAACUAAAUACAUACUAGUAACAGAAUGAAAGUUAAGGAAAUAGUUUUCAUCCGAGGAUGCCAGCUUCCUUUAGAGCGCCUUUGUACUCUUCCUCUGAGUUCCAAGUGGUUAUCUCCUUAACAUUUGCUCCAAAGUACUUCUCGAUCUUCUCCAUGGCUUCUUUAUCCCACCCAUCAUCUAACAACAGAUUGAAUACCGCUCCUUUACCGCCAAACCGGCCAGCCCUUCCCACUCUGUGAAGGUAAACCUCAUAAUUUGGCUCCUCGGUGUUAUAAGUACAGGGCAGAUUAUAAUUGACAACCAAAUUCACCUGCAUUAUUGUGUUAACCAAGCAAGACAC
rnacentral:lncRNA from 1 species